UUUCCGUAGGUGAACCUGCGGAAGGAUCAUUAUUGAAUAAACCUGAUGUGGCUGUUAGCUGGCUUUUCGAAGCAUGUGCUCGUCCGUCAUCUUUAUCUCUCCACCUGUGCACAUUUUGUAGUCUUGGAUACCUCUCGAGGCAACUCGGAUUUUAGCGUCGCUGUGCUGUACAAGUCGGCUUUCCUUUCAUUUCCAAGACUAUGUUUUUAUAUACACCGAAGUAUGUUUAAAGAAUGUCAUCAAUAGGAACUUGUUUCCUAUAUAAUUAUACAACUUUCAGCAACGGAUCUCUUGGCUCUC
rnacentral:misc_RNA from 1 species